CGUUCGGUGGAGGAACCAGACUGGAUGUUGGAAGUGAUGUCCGUCCCACCCUGACGGUGCUGCCCCCCUCCAGUGAGGAGCUGCAGCAGGGGAAGGCCACGCUCAUGUGCCUGGCCAACAAGGGCUUCCCCUCAGACUGGAGUCUGGCCUGGAAGGUGGACGGCAGCAGCAGCAGCAGCAGCUGGGAGGAGAGCAGGAGCCCCGGGGUGCUGGAGAAGGACGGCCGCUACAGCUGGAGCAGCACCCUGAGGCUCCCUGCAGACCAGUGGAGGAAGGUGGGCUCUGUGACCUGUGAGGCCACCCAGGGCUCCCAGGCUCUGGUCUCAGAGACACUGAGGAGAGACCAGUGUUCCCAGUCCUGACCUGACUCACUGGGACUCU